rnacentral:rRNA from 1 species
GUGAGGAAUUUUCCGCAAUGGGCGAAAGCCUGACGGAGCAAUGCCGCGUGAAGGAUGAAGGCCUAUGGGUUGUAAACUUCUUUUCUCAGAAAAGAAUUAUGACGGUAUCUGAGGAAUAAGCAUCGGCUAACUCUGUGCCAGCAGCCGCGGUAAGACAGAGGAUGCAAGCGUUAUCCGGAAUGAUUGGGCGUAAAGCGUCUGUAGGUUGUUUAAAAAGUAUUCUGUCAAAGAUUAGGGCUUAACCCUAGAUAGGCAGAAUAAACUUUUAAGCUAGAGUUUGGUAGAGGCAGAGGGAAUUCCCGGUGGAGCGGUUAAAUGCGUAGAUAUCGGGAGGAACACCAAAGGCGAAGGCACUCUGCUGGGCCAAUACUAACACUGAGAGACGAAAGCGAGGGGAGCAAAUGGGAUUAGAAACCCGGGUAGUCC